UACGGAAAAUAUCUUUGAAGAUGCUUACAAUGGAGUCCAAGUCCCAAAAGCCCCAAGAUCACAAUCAAGGGCAGUCACUUACUAUGCCAUUGCAAGUUAAUCAGUCACGUCAGCAAUUGUUAUCCCAGAACAUUCAGAAUAAUAUUACAUCUCUUGGGUUUCAAAGUUCUCCCAGUUUAACAUCUGCACUGCCUGCUGUUUCUGGUUUAACACAGACUUCUAUACCUAGUGUUGUUGGCCAGAAUCCUAACUUGCAGAGCAUUUCUGGAGUUCCACAGAACACAGCAGGGAAUUCAACAGGACAAGGGGUAACCUCCAAUAUUUUUAACAAUUCUCAGAGACAAAUGGCGGGAAGGCAACAGGUUGUUCCCCAACAGCAGCAACAACAAUCCCAAAAUACUCCGCAAUAUCUUUAUCAGCAACAAUUACAGCAACAACUUAUGAAGCAAAAGAUCCAGCAAGGAAAUCGACCACAUUCACUUGUGCAAUCUCACAUCCAGCACCAGCAGCAGCAGCAGCAGCAGCAAAACCUAUUACAGCAAACUCAGUUGCAAUCUUCUCAGCAAUCUAGUAUGCAAACAUCAUCUGUUAUGCAGCCUACUAUGAUGCAAUCGGUAAUUUCUGGUCUUCAACAGAGUCAGCCACCUGCUGUUCAACAAUCAACGCAAUCGAUGCUUCAACAACAUUCACACUCAGUCCUCAGGCAGCAACAACAACUGCAACAGCCUGCUAGCAUUCAUCAACAGCAAACACCAAUGAUGCAGCAGCAACUGUUGCCCCCCCAGCAUCAGCAACAGCAGCUAAUGGGCCAACAACCUAAUGGCACUAAUAUGCAGCAAAAUCAGUUAAUUGGACAACCAAACAAUGUUGGAGACAUACAGCAGCAGCAGCAGCAGAGAUUACUGGGCCAGCAGAAUAACCUUCAAAAUCUGCAGCAGCAACAACAACAACACCAGCAGCAGCAGUUAAUGGUUCAGCAAAAUAACCUCCCAAGUAUGCAUCAACAGCAAUUAGGCUCGCAAAGUAAUGUCCCUGGUUUACAGCAGCAACAACAGCAGCAGUUGCUUGGAACCCAGACUGGCAACUCAAGCAUGCAAGCUAAUCAGCACUCUGUACACAUGCUGCAACAGUCCAAGGUUCCAUUGCAGCAGCAAACUGCAACUAAUAUGUUGACAACUCAAGGGCAGCAGUCACAACCACAGCUUCCACAACAACAAUUGAUGUCACAGAUUCAAUCACAGCCAACACAGUUACAACAACAGCUACAGUCUAAUCCAUUACAACUAGAUAUGCAGCCAAGGCUCCAAGCAUCAAGUCAA
rnacentral:misc_RNA from 1 species